GGAUCCCCGUAUGUAAUGGAAAAUAUCACUCGCCCAAAUAUGUUUCCCCUUUACUCUCGCGCUCCUUUCCCUCCCUGAAUUCACUAAGACUCUCGUGCUCCCCCCCUCUUGCAAACCCAUCUCACUCUCACCGAAUCAUUUCAUCAUCUUCCUCCUUCAGUUUCGCUCUCUCUCAAGCUUCGUCAUCUUUUUCAUUCAAUCUCGCGUUGCACUCGCACUCCCUCCCUCUCGCUUAGUGACACA
rnacentral:lncRNA from 1 species